rnacentral:lncRNA from 1 species
GGCCUCCCUUUUCGCGCGGAAUUUGACCAGCUGGGCGAGGAGAGAAGACAACUCACACGCGUGACGCGCAGGCCACGGGGGAGAAAAGGCGGCCUCACUCCAGAGGGUGACUUGAAAGGAUUCUCUUGUGGCCGGCCAACUGCGACAGAGCUUCAAACACAAUUCCUGCAAGCAGUUUCUUGUCAAAACUAAAGUGCGGACGGUGGCACGUUCGCAAGAUCGGGAGAAAGAGAAGGCGACAUCCCGCGUAGGAACGGCUGCUGACGCGAUCCCUGUCGAUUCAGACAUACAUGAGAAAAGCGAGUAUCUCGCUCGCGUGAAUUGUGGAAAGUCAAGAGAGAGGUCUUGGCAGAAAGUAUCUGUCGCUGUGUCCUUACAGAUUUCCGAAGGGGAAUGCGCUCUUUUUCCAUACAUCGUUUUUAGCUCUGGGGUGCUAACUUCUUUAGAGAGACGGGCGCUCUAUCUGCCAGGGAACAAGCCAAAACGACGCGUUUUUUGAGGGUCAGAAGCGGUUUUCUCGCGUAACAACGUACCACCCUGAAAGACCGUUCGAGGAAGUCGAAGGACAGGAAGCAGAACGGGAAGCCCGACGGGGUGACGGAAAUAUUGAUGUAAAAAGGAGCAGUCAAGGGUUCUUUUUCAGGCUUCAGGGCUUUGUGGAGUCGGCAUCACCCCAUAAAGACCAGCAAGUGUAGCUCACCAACCGAUUUUCUGGAAAAGGUUCUGGGUCUUUCGACGAAGAAUAGCCGCCCAUCCCCCCCUCCACGACGCCAUACCGUUUUUGAGCGCAAUGGUAUCUCGAGCAGGCAAAAAACAAUUUGCUUGCCUCAGACGCUACCCAUAGGAAUCACGAUCACCCGUUUGGGGGGAUGUCGGUACUAUAUUGUAUUGCUUUCGUUGGCAGAGGGAUAAAUGGGGGUUAACGCUUGGAGUCUGUGAAGAAGCCUUCUUAGGCAUUUACGGUUGCGCAGUCCAUUUUGCGAAGAAAGCACGGUGUGGGUAUCAACGCCGUAGAAAGUAGUGUUCAGCGGAGCGACGGAAGCGCGUAACUUUCCGGGAAUGUGUCCAGAGUUUUCCAUGUACGGUGUGUCUGUCAAAGCAACAAAUGUCUUUUCAACCACGCGCAAGAAAACCUUGUUUUCAAAUCUGUGUGCCACGGCUUUGCUCAGCAACGGUCACGGGUAGGGCAGCGUGUCCUUUCUGAGUUGGUAUUCAAGAGCGAGGGAUUGACGGUGGCAUUAAGUCAGUCCCAGUAGGGCUUCAAUACCUUCCCUCUUCUGUUUCGAGGAAGCAAGAGACACGGUCAAUUACU